GAUGAAGAACGCAGCGAAAUGCGAUAAGUAGUGUGAAUUGCAGAAUUCAGUGAAUCAUCGAAUCUUUGAACGCACAUUGCGCCCCUUGGUAUUCCAUGGGGCAUGCCUGUUCGAGCGUCAUUUGUACCUUCAAGCUCUGCUUGGUGUUGGGUGUUUGUCUCGCCUCUGCGUGUAGACUCGCCUCAAAACAAUUGGCAGCCGGCGUAUUGAUUUCGGAGCGCAGUACAUCUCGCGCUUUGCACUCAUAACGACGACGUCCAAAAGUACAUUUUUACACUCUUGACUUCGGAUCAGGUAGGGAUACCCGCUGAACUUAAGCAUAUCAAUAAGCGGAGGA
rnacentral:misc_RNA from 1 species